GCCCCCGUAGCUCAGUAGGAUAGAGCGGCGGUUUCCUAAACCGUAGGUCGUGCGUUCGAAUCGCGCCGGGGGCACCA
rnacentral:tRNA from 1 species